GGCGAGGCGGAAGCGGAAGCCGGAAGCGCAGUCCCGGGAGCGAUGGCAGCCGGUGGCGGUCUGAGCCGCUCGGAGCGCAAGGCGGCUGAGCGGGUCCGGAGGCUGCGAGAGGAGCAGCAGCGGGAGCGCCUCCGCCAGGUGUCACGCAUUCUGAGGAAGGCGGCUGCAGAGCGCAGCGCGGAGGAGGGCCGGCUUCUGGCCGAGAGCGAGGAUCUGGUGACCGAGCUGCAGGGUCGGAGCCGGCGGCGUGAGGGCCUCAAGCGGCGCCAAGAGGAGGUGUGUGAUGACCCAGAGGAACUGCGGAGGAAGGUCCGCGAACUGGCGGGAGCUGUCCGGAAUGCCAAACACUUGGUGGUCUACACAGGCGCUGGGAUCAGCACGGCGGCUUCUAUCCCAGAUUAUCGGGGCCCUAAUGGGGUAUGGACACUGCUUCAGAAAGGAAGAAGUGUGAGUGCUGCUGACCUAAGUGAGGCAGAGCCUACUCUCACCCACAUGAGCAUCACCCGUUUGCAUGAGCAAAAGCUGGUGCAGCAUGUGGUGUCUCAGAACUGUGACGGGCUCCAUCUGCGCAGCGGGCUGCCACGGACUGCCAUCUCGGAGCUCCAUGGGAAUAUGUACAUAGAAGUCUGCACCGCCUGCAUCCCUAAUAGAGAAUAUGUGCGAGUGUUUGAUGUGACGGAACGUACUGCCCUUCACCGACACCAGACUGGCCGGACCUGCCAUAAGUGUGGGACUCAGCUGCGGGACACCAUUGUGCACUUUGGGGAGAGGGGGACAUUAGGGCAGCCUCUGAACUGGGAGGCAGCGACCGAGGCUGCUAGUAAAGCAGACACGAUCCUGUGUUUAGGGUCCAGCCUGAAGGUACUAAAGAAGUAUCCUCGCCUCUGGUGCAUGACGAAGCCUCCAAGCCGGCGGCCCAAACUCUACAUUGUGAACUUGCAGUGGACCCCAAAGGAUGACUGGGCUGCUUUGAAGCUUCAUGGGAAAUGCGAUGAUGUAAUGCAGCUCCUCAUGGAUGAACUGGGCCUGGAGAUCCCGGCCUACAACCGGUGAGUGGGUGCAGCACGGCCCCACUUGCGCCCUUCUGUGUGACGGGCUGUGUCUGUCUUCUGUGAGCCUCCGGAGAGACUGGCUGGGGCGAGGCUCCACCACAAGCGUACACUCUUCCCCCCUGACUGGAAUGGUGCCCGCACCUCUGUGAGGAGAGGGGGUCUACCAGUGUGUUCCGUAGGAUGUUUCCCCACGGAUCUCUUGCAGCCUGGGUGGACAACUGUGAGGGGUGAGAACUGUGCAACUCUGGUCAGACAGAAUCUGUGUCCUUGGUUUUGGGAUAUUUGGGGAAAGCUUAAUCAAAUUGCCUUGAUACAGAAUUUGUGAUAAUUUAGAUUUGGUGUGUAUUUUGAGUGAAAAGUUUACACUUUCUUUCUCUGUGAAUUUUCAGGGUCUUAUAGGGGAAAUCAGUAACUUCUUUUAAUCAAAGGGUUCAAGAAAUUAAGGAUCCCUUCACCUCUGGGCCUGGCAAUUCUUGUAUGUUAUGUUUGUGGUGUUCUGUGACGUGGGCCUAUCCUGUGCUGUACUGUUUUUUGUUGUUAUUGUUGGUUUGUUUUCUUGUUGUUGUUUUUAACAUUAAGUUAGCUCAUUUUUUUUAAUCAGUGCUUAUCUUUAUCUUACGUUUAUAAUAUGUGGUUCUGCAUCUCAAUCAGAUACAUGAUUUCUUCAUGGUGUAGUCUGUAGGCCAUGCCUCCCUAGCCAACUGGCCUUCACUCCCAUCCCUGUCAUGCAGUCUGGGAAGGGGAAAGGGUCUGGUCCACCUGCCCCCAUCCAUACAAGCGAAAGGGGCCCAGAGUGGCUAGCAGCUUCUCCUUAGAGAUGGAGCCAUCCUGCAGCUAGCACUACCCCUCCUGUGUGUGGAGCCCACCAAUGAUGAUGAGACACAGAAGAGGCCCCUAGGUCUGUUGCUGGCCUUGGAGUUGCCACCCAAGCAGAUUGUCCCCUGAGCCAGCUCUUCCAUAGCUCGGUGACACUGAAGCUGCUGUAGCCAGAGCCCAGCCACCACUGAGACACGAGGGAAGGGGUGGCAAGACCCCAUUUUCUCCUUGGCAACUCCCCUCCGUGCUGGUGAGGAAGGCAGCCACAGCAGGAAGUCGCUGUGCAGAAGCAGAGAG